UGACCGUGCGAAGGUAGCGUAAUCAUUUGUCUUUUAAAUAGAGACCUGUAUGAACGGCAUAACGAGGGUUUAACUGUCUCCUUCCCCUAGUCAAUGAAAUUGAUCUGCCCGUGCAGAAGCGGACAUAAAUACAUAAGACGAGAAGACCCUAUGGAGCUUUAGACAAAAGAUCAAACAUGUAAAGAAACCAAGUUAACCAAAAGGAACACAAAGGCCACGAAACCCGACGUAAACUGAUCCAAAUGUCUUCGGUUGGGGCGACCAUGGGGGAGAAAAAAGCCCCCACGAGGAACAGGGACUAAUCCCUAAGCCAAGAGAGACAUCUCUAAGCAACAGAAAAUCUGACCAAAAGUGACCCAGAAUACUAAUUCUGAUCAACGAACCAAGUUACCCUAGGGAUAACAGCGCAAUCCUUUCCCAGAGUCCAUAUCGACGAAAGGGUUUACGACCUCGAUGUUGGAUCAGGACAUCCUAAUGGUGCAGCCGCUAU
rnacentral:rRNA from 1 species